rnacentral:rRNA from 1 species
GACGAACGCUGGCGGCGUGCCUAAUACAUGCAAGUAGAACGCUGAAGAGAGGAGCUUGCUCUUCUUGGAUGAGUUGCGAACGGGUGAGUAACGCGUAGGUAACCUGCCUUGUAGCGGGGGAUAACUAUUGGAAACGAUAGCUAAUACCGCAUAACAAUGGAUGACACAUGUCAUUUAUUUGAAAGGGGCAAUUGCUCCACUACAAGAUGGACCUGCGUUGUAUUAGCUAGUAGGUGAGGUAACGGCUCACCUAGGCGACGAUACAUAGCCGACCUGAGAGGGUGAUCGGCCACACUGGGACUGAGACACGGCCCAG